rnacentral:rRNA from 1 species
AUCUACAACCAUACCACCCUGAACAUGCCUGAUCUCGUCUGAUCUCAGGAGCUAAGCAGGGUCAGGCCUGGUUAGUACUUGGGAGAAUAAACCCAAAUAUAUC